rnacentral:sRNA from 1 species
CUCUGAUGCCCUCCUCCCUUCGCCUCCUCAGUUGAAGAAGCUGGAUCUGGCAGCUGCGGCAGCACACACCUUCUUUGUAGCAAACCCCAUGCACCUGCAGAUGCGGGAGGACAUGGCUAAGUACAGACGAAUGUCGGGAGUUCGGCCCCAGAGCUUCCGGGACCUGGAGACGCCCCCACACUGGGCAGCCUAUGACACUGGCCUGGAGCUGCUGGGGCGCCAGGAGGCAAGACUGGCACUGCCCAGGCUAGAGGAGGCUCUUCAGGGGAGCCUGGCCCAGAUGGAGAGCUGCCGUGCUGACUGCGAGGGGCCUGAGGAGCAGCAGGGGGCUGAACAAGAGGAGGAUGGGGCUGCGAGCCAGGGGGGCCUCUAUGAGGCCAUUGCAGGACACUGGAUUCAGGUCCUGCAGUGCCGGCAACGCUGUGUGGGGGAAACAGCCACACGCCCUGGUCGCAGCUUCCCUGUCCCAGACUUCCUUCCCAACCAGCUGAGGCGGCUACAUGAGGCCCAUGCUCAGGUGGGCAAUCUGUCCCAGGCUAUAGAAAAUGUCCUGAGUGUCCUGCUCUUCUACCCGGAGGAUGAGGCUGCCAAGAGGGCUCUGAACCAGUACCAGGCCCAGCUGGGAGAGCCGAGACCUGGCCUCGGACCCAGAGAGGACAUCCAGCGCUUCAUUCUCCGAUCCCUGGGGGAGAAGAGGCAGCUCUACUAUGCCAUGGAGCACCUGGGGACCAGCUUCAAGGAUCCUGACCCCUGGACCCCUGCAGCUCUCAUCCCUGAGGCACUUAGAGAAAAGCUCAGAGAGGAUCAGGAGAAGAGGCCUUGGGACCAUGAGCCCGUGAAGCCAAAGCCCUUGACCUACUGGAAGGAUGUCCUUCUGCUGGAGGGUGUGACCUUGACCCAGGAUUCCAGGCAGCUGAAUGGGUCGGAGCGGGCGGUGUUGGAUGGGCUGCUCACCCCAGCCGAGUGUGGGGUGCUGCUGCAGCUGGCUAAGGAUGCAGCUGGGGCUGGAGCCAGGUCUGGCUAUCGUGGUCGCCGCUCCCCUCACACCCCCCAUGAACGCUUCGAGGGGCUCACAGUGCUUAAGGCUGCGCAGCUGGCCCGGGCUGGGACAGUGGGCAGUCAGGGUGCUAAGCUGCUUCUGGAGGUGAGCGAGCGGGUGCGGACCUUGACCCAGGCCUACUUCUCCCCGGAACGGCCCCUGCAUCUGUCCUUCACCCACCUGGUGUGCCGCAGCGCCAUAGAAGGAGAGCAAGAGCAGCGCAUGGACCUGAGUCACCCAGUGCACGCAGACAACUGCGUCCUGGACCCUGACACGGGAGAGUGCUGGCGGGAGCCCCCAGCCUACACCUAUCGGGACUACAGCGGACUCCUCUACCUCAACGAUGACUUCCAGGGUGGGGACCUGUUCUUCACGGAGCCCAACGCCCUCACUGUCACGGCUCGGGUGCGUCCUCGCUGUGGGCGCCUUGUGGCCUUCAGCUCCGGUGUCGAGAAUCCCCAUGGGGUGUGGGCCGUGACUCGGGGACGGCGCUGUGCCCUGGCACUGUGGCACACGUGGGCACCUGAGCACAGGGAGCAGGAGUGGAUAGAAGCCAAAGAACUGCUGCAGGAGUCACAGGAGGAGGAGGAAGAGGAAGAAGAAGAAAUGCCCAGCAAAGACCCUUCCCCAGAGCCCCCUAGCCACAGGCACCAGAGGGUCCAAGACAAGACUGGAAGGGCACCUCGGGUUCGGGAGGAGCUGUGAGUGGCUGAGCCAGCUCCUUGAGGAUGUGGCCACUUGACUUGUGGAAGGCCAUCUUGAUGCCAGGACGCACAGGAAGCCCCUGUGUGACAUCAGGAGCAGAACAGCAAGCUCUCUGUCCCUGCACCCCCACCAUCUUGGGGACCUACAAGGGCCUGGACUCAGAGGACAGUGCACAGGCUAGCCUGGAGCUCACCAGGCCUGGGGAGCUGGGACGGGGCCCCGCUGCCGGACCUGCAGCCCUGGACAGAUGGGGAACACUGUGCCUCCCUGAACGGAAAUGGCAGGGGAGGAGGCUGAUGCUUUAAAUGAAGAAGAUGGUGGGGUUGGGAGGUAUAACCCUGCUCCUCUCUCCCAGUCUGUGCAAUAAAGGUCGUGAAGAUCUCUC